rnacentral:rRNA from 1 species
UACAGAGGGUGCAAGCGUUUAAUCGGAAUUACUGGGCGUAAAGCGUGCGCAGGCGGUUUUGUAAGUCAGAUGUGAAAUCCCCCGGGCUUAACCUGGGACUGCGUUUGAAACUAACAAGGCUAGAGUGUGGCAGAGGGGGGUGGAAUUCCACGUGUAGCAGUGAAAUGCGUAGAGAUGUGGAGGAACACCGAUGGCGAAGGCGGCAUCCUGGACCGGUAUUGACGCUGAGGAGCGAAAGCCAGGGGAGCAAAC